rnacentral:rRNA from 1 species
GUGGCAGACGGGUGAGUAACAUGUGGGUAUCUACCCUUUGGCCUGGAAUAACACGAGGAAACUUGUGCUAAUACCGGAUAAGUCUUUACGGAGAAAGCUUUAUGCACCAUUGGAUGAGCCCGCAAUUGAUUAGUUUGUUGGUGGGGUAAUGGCCUACCAAGACUGUGAUCAAUAGCUGAUUUGAGAGGAUGAUCAGCCACAUUGGGACUGAGACACGGCCCAAACUCCUACGGGAGGCAGCAGUGGGGAAUCUUGCACAAUGGAGGAAACUCUGAUGCAGCGAUGCCGCGUGAGUGAAGAAGGCCCUUGGGUUGUAAAGCUCUUUCGUCGGGGAAGAAAAUGACUGUACCCGAAUAAGAAGGUCCGGCUAACUUCGUGCCAGCAGCCGCGGUAAUACGAAGGGACCUAGCGUAGUUCGGAAUUACUGGGCUUAAAGAGUUCGUAGGCGGUUGAAAAAGUUGGUGGUGAAAUCCCAGAGCUUAACUCUGGAACUGCCAUCAAAACUUUUCAGCUAGAGUUUGAUAGAGGAAAGCAGAAUUUCUAGUGUAGAGGUGAAAUUCGUAGAUAUUAGAAAGAAUACCAAUUGCGAAGGCAGCUUUCUGGAUCAUUACUGACGCUGAGGAACGAAAGCAUGGGUAGCGAAGAGGAUU